GGGGGGGUCCCAAAUGCCGACUUUAUGGGGGUCCGGAGAAACUGAGCUACACCAGUGCAUAUGUUCCAUACUUACAACAGCCAUCCAAAUACAGACUAUGCUGAUUUCUCAACAGCAUGCUUAUUGCAGUUCGGGUAAAAGAGGUAAUGAAAACAAUAACAAUUCAGUAUAUUCAUUGUUAUUUGGUAUGUGUGAAUUUGACGAUCUUUCUUACAUUGCCUUUCUGCAGUUCCUCACAGCUGGAAGAAGUCUGAAAAAACCCUUUUGGGAGGUUUUAUAUUUCUUCAGGACAAACUCAUCCAACACCUUUUCUGACAUCAGAAGUACAUGCAGGCCUUGUAGGAGACACUGAACGGAUUCCAUAGAGAUUCCAAGAAGGAAGCGGAGGAACAUGUCCAUCUCUCCAUUCUCUCUGGACACAGAAUUGUACAUGGAUCCUUUUGUGCCAGCUGUAUUUGAAUGAUCAGAAAGUGAGUGUACAUCUCAGUCAGAGUUGUAGGGAUUACUCCAUUCAAAGUUUCUCUCAACAGUUCCUCAAGAACCUUAGCGGAAAUCCAACAGAAGACUGGUUGAUGUAUCUACGGGGAAUCUGAUUGGCUGCUGCAGGUCUAGAAGUUAUCCAGAUCAGAGCUUUGGGAAGCAGCUUCUCCUCUGAGG
rnacentral:lncRNA from 1 species